rnacentral:rRNA from 1 species
UGCCAGCAGCCGCGGUAAUACGAAGGGGGCGAGCGUUGUUCGGAAUUACUGGGCGUAAAGGGAGCGCAGGCGGUUCAUUUAGUUAGGCGUGAAAGCCCCGGGCUCAACCUGGGAACUGCGCUUAAUACUGAUGAACUAGAAAACAGAAGAGGGUAGUGGAAUUCCCAGUGUAGAGGUGAAAUUCGUAGAUAUUGGGAAGAACACCGGUGGCGAAAGCGGCUACCUGGUCUGAUUUUGACGCUGAGGCUCGAAAGCGUGGGGAGCAAACAGGAUUAGAUA